AAGCCAUGGUGAGGGCAGCUUCUUUGCAAAUCCUUAAAUCUUUCCCAAGCCUCGUACAAUGAUUGAUUCUCAAAUUGCUACAAAGUAGUGAUGUCUUUGAUGAUCUU
rnacentral:snoRNA from 1 species